GGGGAAUUUUGGACAAUGGGCGCAAGCCUGAUCCAGCCAUUCCGCGUGCAGGAUGAAGGCCCUCGGGUUGUAAACUGCUUUUGUACGGAACGAAAAGGUCUUCUCUAAUACAGAGGGCUCAUGACGGUACCGUAAGAAUAAGCACCGGCUAACUACGUGCCAGCAGCCGCGGUAAUACGUAGGGUGCAAGCGUUAAUCGGAAUUACUGGGCGUAAAGCGUGCGCAGGCGGUGAUGUAAGACAGUUGUGAAAUCCCCGGGCUCAACCUGGGAACUGCAUCUGUGACUGCAUUGCUGGAGUGCGGCAGAGGGGGAUGGAAUUCCGCGUGUAGCAGUGAAAUGCGUAGAUAUGCGGAGGAACACCGAUGGCGAAGGCAAUCCCCUGGGCCUGCACUGACGCUCAUGCACGAAAGCGUGGGGAGCAAAC
rnacentral:rRNA from 1 species